UCAUUGCGUCGCGUAUCUUCGUCGCCUUCGCCCCCUCUCCUUGUUAAGGUUUUCCUUUUCAAUCAUUCUAUAACAAACAAUGGAGCCUGGAAAAUUCGAGCCGAAACACUCGGGAGACCUGUUGAAGUAAGUACACUUCCUAUCUUUCUUUUUUUCUUCGUGUUUUACUUCAUGCGAUUUAUCUGCUGUGAGCUGUUUGUGGUGAAUAGGCAU